rnacentral:rRNA from 1 species
GGGUGCGAUCAUACCAGCACUAAUGCACCGGAUCCCAUCAGAACUCCGCAGUCAAGCGUGCUUGGAUGAGAGUAGUACUAGGAUGGGUGACCUCCUGGGAAGUCCUCGUGUUGCACCCC